rnacentral:tRNA from 1 species
UAGCUCAGUUGGCUAGAGCGCAACCUUGCCAAGGUUGAGGUCGCCGGUUCGAACCC